AGGGUCUUAGGUUUUGUAUUUUUUUUUGAAAGGACAAGCCUUUAGUGGGUCUUUUAAAUGAUGUAUAGAAUAUUAGGAUUGAACUUAGGACUCGGGCUUUAGAAGAUGGCUUAAUUCUUUUCUGGAAAAGCAUCUGUACAGCUCACAUAUGCUUGUUUAGAUUGUAAAGAACUUAAGCCAUAUUGGUUUGUUAGGUUGGUGGCUCAAAUCAAACUUGAUUUUCAGCUAAGUUAAUCGAGUUUGGAAGUUGGGUCAGUGUCAAUUUUAUUUUGUCAAUAAAGUCUUUAAAUGCAUAACUGCCUAGAGUUCAAGCUUUAUAAUGACGGAAGUAAAUGAUGCUGCUAUUGAAAAAUCUAUUUGCAUUGAUGGCUCUAUUAUCUUUUAUCAUUGUACUUGGAUUCAAGAGUUUUUAGGUCUUUAUAUCUCUGUUAUAAUCCAUGUAUCACUAUUUAGUGCAAUGAGUUUUUAGGGAAUGCAGAAAGUGUAGUUUAUGAUUAUGAACCAUCUUUGGGCAUAGACUUUAGGCACUGAAAGUGAAAAUCACAAUCAUUGACACAUGGAUCUCUAACUGAAUGUGGAAGAAUUCAAAUGGGAACUUGGAAUGACCUUGCGUGUCAAUCUCUAAUUGUAAAAAGGCCUAUUGAGAGUUUCAAGUUUGAAAUUUAAAAAUAACUAUAGUUGCUUUGAAAAUUUGAAG
rnacentral:misc_RNA from 1 species